AUUGUUAACCAUGUAAAGAUAAAGGAUAUUUUAGACUUACCCAAGCUGUGAGUCCUAGGUACAAAAUUUGUUCCAGAAAACUACUGAAAAUUAUUUUCGGGAACGCCUUGCGGUGGUAAUGGCUGCCCCCAGCUGGCGCGAGGCUGGGCUCGUUCAAGCAGUGUUAAACGUCGGCACAUGGACCCUCCUGUGGCGAGGGAGCGGGUGAUCCCUUUACCUCACUCUUAGGCUAUGGACGGAGGUGCGUGUCCUGCGUGGCGGGAUCCGCUUUCUCCUUCCCAGCUUGGCCUCGGCUUCUUGCAGUCAUGGCCAGGGCUCUGCCCUGGACCACUUCCUCAGGUUCCUUCAGCCUGACAGCUCGGUGAUUCCUUGUGUCCCUGCAGUGUCCAUGCACAGAGAUGAGCAGGAUCGCUGCUUGGUCCAUCAUCCUGAUAUGCCUGAGAAUCCCCGGGUCCUACGAGUGGUCCUCCUGGAAGCCCGAAUGCAGGGAAGUCAACACUCUCCAACCAGCUACUGGGCCAAAAGGUGUUCCCUGUUUCCAAGAAGGUGCAUACCACUCGCCACCAAGCUCUGGGAGUCAUUGCAGAGGCCCAGGUGAUUCUACUUGACAUACCUGGCAUUAUCAGUCCUGUUAAACAGAAGAGGCACCACCUGGAGCUCUGUUGGAAGAUCCAUGGAAGAGCAUGAAGUCCGCUGAUCUUGUGGUUCUUGUGGAUGUCUCUGACAAGUGGACUCGGAACCAGCUCAACCCCCAGUUGCUCAGGUGCUUGACCAAGUUCUCCCAGAUCCCUAGUAUAGUAUCCUGGUCAUGAGCAAGGUAGAUUGUCUGAAGCAGAAGUCAGUUCUCCUGAAGCUCAGGGCAGCCCUCACUGAAGGUGUGGUCAAUGGCAAAAAGCUCAAGAUGAGGCAAGCCUUCCACUCACACCCUGGCACCCAUAGCCCCAGACUAGCAGUUAAGGACCCAAACACACAAUCUGUGGGAAGCCCUCAGAGGACUGGCUGGAACCACUUCCAGGAGAUCUUCAUGUUGUCAGCCCUAAGCCAGGAGGAUGUGAAAACACUAAAGCAAUAUCUCCUGGCACAGGGGGCCUAGCCAGGGCCCUGAGAGUACCACAGUGAAGUCCUUACUAACCAGACACCAGAAGAGAUCUGUGCCAACAACAUCGAGAGAAGCUCCUAGAGCACCUGUCCCAAGAGGUGACUUACAAUGUGCAGCAGCAGAUGGCAGUGUGGGAGGAAGGACCUAGUGGGGAGCUGGUUAUCCAACAGAAGCUUCUGGUGCCCAGAGAAUCUUAUGUGAGGUUCCUGAUUGGUCCAAAUGGCCACCUGAUCUCUCAGAUUGCACAGGAGGUGGGCCCCCGACCUCAUGAGCAUCUUCCUCUGUGAUGCUGACAUCCGCCUCUCUGUAAAGCUCCUCAAGUGACCACCUUCUACUGACCCUCCCAGGGCAUUCCAGCUCAAGCUGCUGGCAGGCACUGAUCAGAUCUGUCCUUGGCUGGGGACCCUCCAGGGACUGGUGAGGGACAUGAGUGCUGGCUGGCUGCUAGCUGGCCUGACCCUACUCAGUCUGCACAGUCCCUGCCCAGCUGUGUCUCCUAUUGGAAGAAGGAACCUGCCUUAGUUCAGUUCCCAGGUGGCUCCUCUGCCUAGGGCCACAGCUACAAAAGUAUAGCUAAGAAGAUGGCCUACAAGAGGGAGCAAUGUCACCCUGCCUCCAGCUGGCUUUGGGCCCAGAGUUUCUCCCUGAGCCACUGUUGUGUGCAGGGAGAUCUUUUUCUGCCCCUGCUUCCUUCACCUUAAACUUGUAUAAGGACUUGAGUCUCCUGAGUGAGGUAGUGCCUCCCAUCUGCUCCCCAAUUCUUGAUCUCUCCCACCCCAUCCCUCUCCCCAGUCUUGGAUACUAAUGAAGUUAAAAGACAA